UACGGGGGGAGCAAGCGUUGUUCGGAUUUACUGGGCGUAAAGGGCGCGUAGGCGGUCAGCACAAGUCAAUUGUGAAAUCUCCGAGCUUAACUCGGAAAGGUCAACUGAAACUGUGCGACUAGAGUGUGGAAGGGGCAACUGGAAUUCUUGGUGUAGCGGUGAAAAUGCGUAGAUAUCAAGAGGAACACCUGCGGCGAAGGCGGGUUGCUGGGCCGACACUGACGCUGAAGCGCGAAAGCCAGGGGAGCGAACGGG
rnacentral:rRNA from 1 species